AGUGAGCCCUAACAACAACCCUGGUGGCAAAAAUAACCACCACCACCGAAACAAAACAAACAAAAAAUAAAACAUGAAUUAUUUCCAAAUUUAUAUGUGCCAGAAAUCAGAUGUAGUUAGCUGGGACCUUUGGCUCAAGCACCAAGUCUUGGCUGCUGUCUGAUGACCUGACUGAGAAGGAUAAGCUUUCUUGCCUACUCAAGUGGUUGUUGGUAGGAUUCAGGUGCUUAUGAGUUGCUGUAUUGAAGCCUCGACUCCUCCCUCCUUUUCCUGUCAUGUGGGCCUCUUUAUAGGGCACCUCACAACAUGACAGCUUGUUUCAUCAGAGUUGAGUAAGUAAAAGAUCAAUGGAGAAGAAGGACAGAUGGAGGGAGAACUUGGGCACUGACAGGAUGGAAGUCAGAGGACUGCAAACUAACCACCAUUUCUGUAUUUUAUUUCUUAGAAGCACAUCAUGAAAACCAUCUGAUACCCAAGGGGAGGACCUUACACCUGUAUUGUAGUGUGUAGAAGUGCCAUGGAGAGUAGCAGGAGAUGAGGCUGCAGAGACCCCAGAAAGAGAAAGGAUUUGAUGGGCCUGGCUUGAAUCAGGUGACCACACUGGUCCAAUCAACUGUGGACUCUUUAAGAUGCAGAGUGAGAGACAUCGAGAAAGAAGGAGAAACAUCACAGCACUGCUCCACUACUUGUGAAGCUCCCUUGUGCGGGUGCUGCUGUGUGGUGGCCAGGGACUUGCGUAUGGUGAAGUGUGCACUCUACUGGGGCAGGUAUUUCAGACCAUAGCAGACACAGACAUUUCCUCGUGGGCUGCCUCCUGCCACAGAAGCACAUGGCCGGGGGCUGCUGGGAGCAUGUUGGAAUGCCAGCUACAGAGAUCAGGGUUAGCCUUCCUCCCCCUGGAGUAUAAAGCAAGGCCAGCAAAACCAAUGCCACACACUCUUCUCUGGAUGACAGCAGAUCAUUGCAAUGGCUGAAUGAGGUCUGCAAGCUUGCACCCGCACCAGCAAAUGAUACUUCCUGGUUUGGGGACUCAGAUACUUCAUGGAUAAAACAGAGCUGAUGAAGCAAGCCUUGGGCAAGACCAUGUUUUCUGGAACGAAGUCAAAUGCCCGACAAGAUGAUUCUAUCAGGAAGUUACAGGAAGAUAGAACAAGUAAUUUGGCCCAUGUUCUGCUGUGUUUCUGCCAGACAAGACAGCCGGUGACUCAGUGAAGACAGGAUGCCAGCAAUGGGCCCACUCAACAAGUCCUGAUGGAAUUGGGGUUCAGAGUCUUCUUCCCCUAUCAUUUCUCCCCCACUGGGAGUAUGGACCAAAAUUCUUUAUGGGGUGCAGAAAGUGGAAGAUUUCCAGAGUCAUCUAGUAGCCCUCCUACAAGUGGAUGAAGACAGAGCAGCAUAAAAAGCUUCAAAGGAUGCAGCCUGGGAGGUGGUAUGGCGAAUAAAGCUUUGGACUCUAAGGCACGAGGUCCCAAGUUUGAUUUCCAGCACAGCGCGUGCCAGAGUGAUGCUCUGGUUUUCUCUCUCUCACCAUCCCUAUCACUAACAACAACAACAGAGCAGUUCUGCUCCUAAGCACCCCUGCAUCCCUCAUCUGUGUAGGAUAAGAAAGGAGCUCUGAGGCUUGCGAGGACUGAGAGGCAGAAGUGCAGGUAACCAGUGCAUGGCUGUGACUUGAGCUGAGCACAGACAUUCAGUGGAGAGAAGCUGGGGGUAAAUUUAAGUCACCAACUGUCCUGGUGCACUCAGUAUUCAGGGUUUUUUAUUUAUUUAUUUUUUUUUUAUGCAAGGCUUUCAGUGAUAAAAUGAGGAAACUUUCAAGCAAAAUGGAUCAGCUGGUCAUCUCUGAGCUGGAGUGGCUGGUUGAAGGAAGUCAGUGAUGUAUACAGUGCUGUUUCCUGUGCUCACCUCAGUUCCUCACCCUGGCAGUUUAUCUUCCCCUCUGCCCCUUAGCAAAAUUAGAACCUUAGGUGGGGCCCAGGAGGUGGCACACCGGGUUAAAUGCACAUGGUGCGAAGUGCAGGAACCGGUACAAGGAUCCUGGUUG